rnacentral:lncRNA from 1 species
AGACUACAAAGAAGGAAUGAAGAAAGAAAUGCAUCUGGGCUUCUAUCCAAUUUGAUUACUGUCAACCUCAUCCAGCUGAGAAGGGAAAAGACAGAUGUAUUGAUGGUCACCGAAAUGAGAUGGAACAAAAGACAACAACCUGAGCAGAGAAGAAAAGGUACUCUUUAAAUGGUUGUGUUUUGAUGGUGUUUUAUUCUGGUCCUUCAGAGCUUCCUGCAUACCCCUGUAUGCCAAGUAAUCCCCUCUU